rnacentral:rRNA from 1 species
CCAGACUCCUACGGGAGGCAGCAGUGGGGGAUAUUGGACAAUGGGGGGAACCCUGAUGCAGCGACGCCGCGUGAGGGAAGACGGUUUUCGGAUUGUAAACCUCUGUCUUUAGGGACGAAACAAAUGACGGUACCUAAAGAGGAAGCCACGGCUAACUACGUGCCAGCAGCCGCGGUAAUACGUAGGUGGCGAGCGUUGUCCGGAAUUACUGGGUGUAAAGGGAGUGUAGGCGGGAAGGCAAGUCAGAAGUGAAAAUUAUGGGCUCAACCCAUAACCUGCUUUUGAAACUGUUUUUCUUGAGUGAAGCAGAGGCAAGCGGAAUUCCUAGUGUAGCGGUGAAAUGCGUAGAUAUUAGGAGGAACACCAGUGGCGAAGGCGGCUUGCUGGGCUUUUACUGACGCUGAGGCUCGAAAGCGUGGGGAGCAAACAGGAUUAGAUACCCCCGUACAU